AAAGUCCAUUACGAUGAAGGACUAGCGAUCCACAUUGGCCCCGAGUCAUGCGCGGGCAGUCGUGAGGCUGUACGUGAAGUGUUGACAGGGGAGCAUGCAGGCCAGCCAUUGAGCCGCGAAAGACUGGACAUUUCGGGUGCCGACGCUUUCCACCUAUGCGGAAGGCAAUAUGAACGGACACGUUAUCGCAAGUGGCCGUUUGACCUGGCGCGGUCGGAGACCC
rnacentral:ncRNA from 2 species